ACCGUCCUUGUCUUGGGGGGAGCCGCUGAUCAAGGAUCGUAUAGUGAGAUCAGCCGUGCUGACACCCGAAAACAACACUCAUAGCACCGCCCGGCGAUUUUGCUCGGUCAACGGUGCAAUUUUUGGAACC
ensembl:snRNA